ACGGCGAUCAAGCCAACGGAGGUUAAGCCCUUAGGUGAAACGUCAUUAACUAGCCACGUACUCUUCUUUAUAUUGUAAUGGCGCUUACUGCCAGUUGGCAUUAAAAAGGUUUUAAUUUAAUUUUAGGUUUGAGUAAAAAUGAUUUUUAAAUGGUGUACAUUAAAAUUCUUUUGACAAGCUUAAAAUUGUAAUGAACCCCAAAAUUGUAUAACACGCUGCUGCGUUUUGCGUCUAAAAUGGUACUGGCAUCAUGCUGUAUCUUUUAUUGCUAUCAAUUCGUAGAUCUUCAAAAUAGAUGCUUCAUUUUAUACGAAAAUAGAGAACAAGUGUGGUGGUAAUUGUUACAAUUUGUGUCAGAAAAUAUUCAGAUUUUACUCGUUGAAAGUUAAAUUAGUUCAUUAUUACAAAUUGUACCUCUACUAGCUAUAUUUUUUGAUACAAUUUGUUGUUACUAGACACCGAGUUGGGGAAGAAUAAUAAAUUAGCUAAUACAACAGUUGCGUGUCAUAUAUUUACAAAAAUCUAAGUACAGUGUUGUAGAUUUUCCUAUUAAUAAGUUUUUUUCAGUGUAAGAAUAUACCUACACACCAACCCUCCUCCUCUCCGAAACAACAAAAGAAAAGAAGGGAGGGUUUUCUUUCUUUUGCUCUCACAUGCACGUUCUCCAAACAGCACACUCACUCACACACACAUCCAGCCAGCUUUCCCGUCCUUUCCAUGCGUCGACCACUAUACAAAACUCCUCAAGAUAUUUCCCCCUACGACAAACCGUUUUCUGAUAUACCGUUGUUCGUUUCCUUACAGAUCUGCCCCCCUCGCCGCCACGCCGCCCCCACUCUCUUAUCGGUAGAUGGCGCAGCACGCAAGCCCGUUCUCCCGCCGCCGCCAACUUGGACGAAACUGUUUGCCAGUGCCCGUUCUCAGUCGCACGACGCAGUCCCACUGGAGCAUGGCUCGCUCCACGGAGAAGGUCUUUGAUCUUGCAGUUGGAUUGAUGGCCAUGUGCUCCAACACACACAGACAGAACUUGGCACUUGUUCCCUCAGCCAGAUGUACUUGUCGUUGACAUCGACGAUCCGGAUGACAGUGAUGAUGCAGUGCGUGAUCGUGUUUUUAUUUCAUUUAAUUUCGUACAUGUGGAAAUCGACUGGAUUGUAUUCGUAAUUUUAGUGCAACGCUUUGACUCUGCUGUUGCGCGCGUGGUGUUCAACAGGGCAUCGUAAUUAUCUAAAAUGAUAUUUUACACAAAUAGGAGUCAUUAGGAUCUAUAAAAUUCUUGCUGCAGAUUAUUCAAGAAAUGACAGAUUACAUCGUAAUUGGGAUUAUGAUUAUAAAUGGUUUGGUGUUAUGGAUGAAAUUAAAAGUGUUGUCCUGUAUACUUAGUAACUGAUUUAGUU